AUUUAAAUAGUUUAAAUAUUAAAAAUAUUGAUUUGUGGUAUCAGUGAUGUAUAAAUAUACUUUAAGUU
rnacentral:tRNA from 1 species